UCCUGUGGAAGAGACAAAAUUCAGCAAGGCCACUGAGGACGCUGGCCUGCUAUUUUCACCUGUGCCCAGAGGUCUGAGAGGCUUCAACCCGAUGGUGUGCGCGCACGCACUUAACAGCCAAGAAGGCCCCGCCAGCCGGUCAGCUUCCAGAGUAGGAGCACUGUGCCCUGCUUGUGACAGUCACUCAAGAACUGCUUGUUGAACUGCCUGGGGAGACCCAGUCACAUCAUACCCCUAGGCUGGGAGGGGACAGGUCUAAUCACUGCGGGACGCUCUAGCGUCUGCGCUGGACAGCAACCUGUGGAAGCAGCCGAGGCCCCACCAGCACUGAUGACUCACACUGCCUCCCAAAGGCACCACCAUUAAUUUUCAAAACAGGCCUCCCAGUCAGGAUCUUACAUCCUGACAGAGACGCUCAGGGGAAGAGGAGGGUGGUCCUGUUUCUAGAAGGAGUCCGCAGCAGGACGUGCGACAAGGCCCAAGUCCCAGCCUGCCACCAUAUUUCCUGUUCUGCCUUAUCUCUGGGUCAUGGCUGUGAGCCACACCAUCGGAUCCAGAGAGCUGACUGUACCAAGGCGACUCCACUGAGCCUGAGGAGGGAGACUUGGUGCUAAACCAGCCAGAGCCCCCCUGCCCUCAGCCGCACAAAGCAGAGCUGCUGCGGCAGGUACCUGGUCUUGCCGGGUGGAGUGGCAGGGUCCACGACGUUCAGCAGGUUGCUCUCCAGGAUAUGAAGCAACGGGCCCACAGCCAUCUGAAGGCUUUCCCUGUGGCAAGUGAACAACACUGAAGCAGCCAGCGGGCACUGGCACACAGGAAGGGCAGGCUGGGCCUGCUCCCUGACCUCAGGAGCCCAAUCAGAGCUGAGAAGAAGACAAGCAAUGCGUGAGGGACAGCGACAGGCAGGAAGGGGAGAAACGGCACCGCCUGCAGUUUGAGGGCCCUCUGUGCACAAAGACUUGCACUACAAAAGCACCAGCGUAUGCCCCGGUAAGAACACACCUGCGAUGGGACUGGUAACUGGGAUACGUCAUGAAGAACUAGGCCUCCAGGAAUAGAACAAAGCUGGGAAGGGCAGGGUCUAGUGAUCUCCAGGAAUUCCAGAAGGCCCUUAGAAAACUAAUCAGGAGGAACAACAUCCUAAACUCUGCUUCCCAGGUGCCAGCCCCUCUUCUUUGGAGUCUGGACUGUGAGGACGUGUCUGAUCUAUUUGGAGUAACGCACAGUUCAGCGGCAGCACUCGCAGGGCUGGCGCUGUGUCUCCACCACUUUCACCCCCGGGUUUGCCGCCUCAGGAUCACAAGGGGGUUACUGCAACUGCGCGCCUGCCAUCUCACGGUGCUAAACAAAGCAGGGAGCUGUGCCAGUGAGCGGCCAAAAGACUUGGUUUGGGUGCCUCUCACCUUUGAUCAAAGAGGGGGAAAACACCUCUUCCAGAAUUCCCAGAGCCCAAUCAUGGACAAAAGGGAGCAGGGUACUUAGGAUGGCUUAGACCAAUCUUUCUUUCAUGGCAACUGGAUAAAUAAAUGACCACCUUUGUAAGUCGAGGCAUGUUGAAGCAAUGGGUGAGGAGCAGGCAACCAAUACCGUAUGCAACAUACACCUUCCAGAAGAAUGUACGCAGGCCAAGCCAAGCUGGGUGGCACUGCAUGUCCAUCUAAUUUGUCCUUGAAGAAACAUCAGUUUUAUGAAACCAGAGCUAACCGAAAUGGGAAGAAGAAUCAGAUCUUGUUUAAAAUGAUUAAACUAUAGCCAUUGUCCAAAUCCGACCCACUUGCCUGUUUUGUAAAUAAAGUGUUAUUGGAACAUA